GAUGAACGCUAGCGGCAGGCCUAACACAUGCAAGUCGAGGGGUAGAACACUUCGGUGUUUGAGACCGGCGCACGGGUGCGUAACGCGUAUGCAAUCUACCUUGUACAGGGGAAUAGCCCAGAGAAAUUUGGAUUAAUGCCCCAUAGUAUAUAACCUUCGCAUGUUGGUUAUAUUAAAGUUCCAACGGUACAAGACGAGCAUGCGUCCCAUUAGUUAGUGGGUAAGGUAACGGCUUACCAAGACGAUGAUGGGUAGGGGUCCUGAGAGGGAGAUCCCCCACACUGGUACUGAGACACGGACCAGACUCCUACGGGAGGCAGCAGUGAGGAAUAUUGGUCAAUGGGUGAGAGCCUGAUCCAGCCAUCCCGCGUGAAGGAUGACGGCCCUAUGGGUUGUAAACUUUUUUUGUACAGGGAUAAACCUAGAUACGUGUAUCUAGCUGAAGGUACUGUACGAAUAAGCACCGGCUAACUCCAUGCCAGCAGCCGCCGUAAAAC
rnacentral:rRNA from 1 species